rnacentral:rRNA from 1 species
UUGAACGCUGGCGGCAUGCUUUACACAUGCAAGUCGAACGGUAACAGGCCUUCGGGUGCUGACGAGUGGCGAACGGGUGAGUAAUGCAUCGGAACGUGCCCAAUCGUGGGGGAUAACGUAGCGAAAGUUACGCUAAUACCGCAUACGCCCUGAGGGGGAAAGCAGGGGAUCUUCGGACCUUGUGCGAAUGGAGCGGCCGAUGUCAGAUUAGCUAGUUGGUGGGGUAAAGGCCCACCAAGGCGACGAUCUGUAGCGGGUCUGAGAGGAUGAUCCGCCACACUGGGACUGAGACACGGCCCAGACUCCUACGGGAGGCAGCAGUGGGGAAUUUUGGACAAUGGGCGCAAGCCUGAUCCAGCCAUGCCGCGUGAGUGAAGAAGGCCUUCGGGUUGUAAAGCUCUUUCGGCCGGGAAGAAAUCGUGGUCUCUAACAUAGGCCAUGGAUGACGGUACCGGACUAAGAAGCACCGGCUAACUACGU